CCCGUCAGUAAACGUUUCUACGAGGCGGUGCAAAUUUGAGCCGCUUUUCAGGGAGAUAACGUGACAAGUACACCUCCGGGGGAGGGGGGUAGCACGAUGAAUUCUCAUAUGAAUUGACGGGGCCCCGCACAAGCGGUGGAGCACGUGGUUUAAUUUGAUGCAACGCGAAGAACCUUACUUACUCUGGACAUCCAGAGAAGCCGGAAGAGAUUUUGGUGUGCCUUCGGGAGCUAUGAGACAGGUGCUGCAUGGCUGUCGUCAGCUCGUGUUGUGAAAUGUUGGGUUAAGUCCCGCAACGAGCGCAACCCUUAUCCUUGAUUGCCAGCACUUCGGGUGGGAACUUCAGGGAGACUGCCGGUGAUAAACCGGAGGAAGGUGGGGACGACGUCAAGUCAUCAUGGCCCUUACGAGUAGGGCUACACACGUGCUACAAUGGCGUAUACAGAGGGCAGCUAACUUGCGAGAGUGUGCGAAUCCCAAAAAGUACGUCGUAGUCCGGAUUGGAGUCUGCAACUCGACUCCAUGAAGUCGGAAUCGCUAGUAAUCGUAGAUCAGAAUGCUACGGUGAAUACGUUCCCGGGCCUUGUACACACCGCCCGUC
rnacentral:rRNA from 1 species